CCAAUAGCGUAUAUUAAAGUUGUUGCAGUUAAAAAGCUCGUAGUUGAAUUUCGGAAUCUGUCCGUCGGUCGGGCUUACAGUCCGUACUGGUGUGGUGGGUUCUUACCUUCUGAAUAACCAGCAUGCCAUUCACUUGGUGCGCUGGGGAAGCAGGACUAUUACCUUGAAAAAAUUAGAGUGCUCAAAGCAGGCCAGUGCCUGAAUACAUUAGCAUGGAAUAAUAAAAUAGGACGGCAUGGUUCUAUUUUGUUGGUUUCUAGGAUCACCGUAAUGAUUAAUAGGGAUAGUUGGGGGCAUUAGUAUUCAAUUGUCAGAGGUGAAAUUCUUGGAUUUAUUGAAGACUAACUUCUGCGAAAGCAUUUGCCAAGGAUGUUUUCAUUAAUCAAGAACGAAAGUUAGGGGAUCGAAGACGAUCAGAUACCGUCGUAGUCUUAACCAUAAACUAUGCCGACUAGGGAUCGGACGAUGUUAAUUUUUUAAUGACUCGUUCGGCGCCUUACG
rnacentral:rRNA from 1 species